rnacentral:rRNA from 1 species
AAUGAACGUUGGCGGCAUGGAUUAGGCAUGCAAGUCGAGCGCGAUAUGUAGCAAUACAUGGAGAGCGGCGAAAGGGAGAGUAAUACACAGGUAACUACCUUUGGGUCUGGGAUAGCGGCGGGAAACUGCCGGUAAUACCAGAUGACAUCUUCGGAUCAAAGGUUUACUGCCCGAAGAGGUGCCUGUGACCUAUCAGCUAGUUGGCGGUGUAAUAGACCACCAAGGCUAAGACGGGUAUGGGGUGUGAGAGCAUGCCCCCACUCACUGGGACUGAGACACUGCCCAGACACCUACGGGUGGCUGCAGUCGAGAAUCUUCGGCAAUGGGCGAAAGCCUGACCGAGCGAUGCCGCGUGCGGGAUGAAGGCCUUCGGGUUGUAAACCGCUGUCGUAGGGGAGCAAGGGGAAACCUUGAGCGAUCCUAGGAGGAAGGACCGGCUAAGUUCGUGCCAGCCGCCGCAGUAACAC